GACCGCUUGGCGCAGCGGUAGCGCGUGAGAUUCCAGUGAUUGGGACCUCCUCAAGGUCAUCCGUUCAAAUCGGGUAGUGGUCA